rnacentral:rRNA from 1 species
GAUGAACGCUAGCUACAGGCUUAACACAUGCAAGUCGAGGGGUAACGAGAGGAAAGCUUGCUUUCCUUGUCGACGACCGGCGCACGGGUGAGUAACGCGUAUCCAACCUGCCCCCAACUAGGGAAUAACCUUGCGAAAGUAAGACUAAUACCCUAUAAUUUCCUCAGAUGACAUCUGACGAGGAAUAAAGAUUUAUCGGUUGUGGAUGGGGAUGCGUCUGAUUAGCUUGUUGGCGGGGUAACGGCCCACCAAGGCAACGAUCAGUAGGGGUUCUGGGAGGAAGGUCCCCCAGAUUGGAACUGAGACACGGUCCUAACUCCUACGGGAGGCAGCAGUGAGCAAUAUUGGUCAAUGGUCGGAAGCGUGAACCAGCCAAGUAGCGUGCAGGAUGACGGCCCUAUGGGUUGUAAACUGUUUUUAGACAGGAAUAAAGUUAGCCACGUGUGGUUAUUUGGAGGUACUGUAUGAAUAAGGACCGGCUAAUUCCGUGCCAGCCGCCGCGGUAA